rnacentral:rRNA from 1 species
UACGGGGGGAGCAAGCGUUGUUCGGAUUUACUGGGCGUAAAGGGCGCGUAGGCGGCCUGCUAAGUCGAACGUGAAAUCCCCGGGCUCAACCCGGGAACUGCGUCCGAUACUGGCAGGCUUGAAUCCGGGAGAGGGAUGCGGAAUUCCAGGUGUAGCGGUGAAAUGCGUAGAUAUCUGGAGGAACACCGGUGGCGAAGGCGGCAUCCUGGACCGGCAUUGACGCUGAGGCGCGAAAGCCAGGGGAGCAAACGGG